rnacentral:rRNA from 1 species
UAGUCCACGCCGUAAACGAUGGAUACUCGCUAUCGGCGAUACAAUGUCGGUGGCUAAGCGAAAGUGAUAAGUAUCCCACCUGGGGAGUACGAUCGCAAGGUUGAAACUCAAAGGAAUUGACGGGGGCCCGCACAAGCGGUGGAGCAUGUGGUUUAAUUCGAUGAUACGCGAGGAACCUUACCAGGGCUUAAAUGUAGUGGGACAGGUCUGGAAACAGAUCCUUCUUCGGACUCAUUACAAGGUGCUGCAUGGUUGUCGUCAGCUCGUGCCGUGAGGUGUCAGGUUAAGUCCUAUAACGAGCGCAACCCCUGUUGUUAGUUGCCAGCGAGUAAUGUCGGGAACUCUAACAAGACUGCCGGUGCAAACCGCGAGGAAGGUGGGGAUGACGUCAAAUCAUCACGGCCCUUACGUCCUGGGCUACACACGUGCUACAAUGGUCGGUACAGAGAGCAGCCACUGCGUGAGCAGGAGCGAAUCUAUAAAACCGAUCACAGUUCGGAUCGG